rnacentral:lncRNA from 1 species
AAUCCCAGAAUGUAUUGCCCUCUUUGGAACAUGAAGAUGUCUGCCCUCCAGAAGGAAAACUCCAGAAGUCUUGCUGAACUCUAGAUAAGUGGUCAUACGUGUUCCCUCCUUUUCUCUUCUCCCUUCCCACCUCAGUUCGAUCCUGAGGGCUUGCCUGGCUCUGCAGGUUUGCUGUGAAGGCCCCUAGGGACUAUGCAAGCUGUGUCCUGGGGCUGCCUCAUCCACAUACGGUAACAAGGUGGCAGGUACUCAUUUCUCUGUCGCAACCUCUGGUUCCCCAAAAACUGUCAUCACCAACAGGAAAGGCUGUGCCACGGUGGCACCUCCGUCUGCUUGUCCCACGCACAGUGCCCGUGGGGCAAACCCUCUGCGAGGAACCGCUUAAUAAAACCCAAAGAUCUCACACCUCCAGCCGCUGGCCCCUUCUUUCCAGCAAUAGCCACCUUAUCCCAGGUCUGGUUCAGCCAAAGGUUGGGGAGAGGCUCCUCCAGUUUAUCUCCUGCCACCCAGCCUGGCGUCCACCUUCGGAAGGAUUUUGUCAUCUGCCUCCCAGUCGUGUGACCGCUGCAGGACUUUCAACUGCGGGCCCCUGGGGGCUGGCCAACCAGGAAGUUGGGCCAUUUCUAUUGUAUUGGCAGCUCGUGGUGGUCAGUUGUUGGCUGACUUGGAUGCAACUCAUCUCAAGCCGUGUGUUCCCAGGACAGAAAUGGCCUUGGUUUUGACAUACAUGCACCCCAGACAGGAGGUGGGCAAAACAUACCUCUGAGACAGUUAGCUUCACCACCAAAGCUCAAACGGAGGACACAGCCUCGUGGGUGCUCCCUCCGAUUUAGCCCAGAGGGUUGGGGGGUGGUCUCAGCUCCACCAAGAACACUGGUGGCAUCCUAGUCCUCGUGAGUGGAUGCUCUUGUCUCAACGCCGUUCUCCCUUCCCUGUGCCUAGGUCAGCCCGCCAGGCCGCCCUCCGGAUGGUAGUUAGAAACCAGGAAACGAAACCCUGGGGCCGCCUGAGUAGAGCUUUCUGCCUACACCUUGUCUCGGGUUCACGGCACAGAGCAUCUGCCGCGUCCGCGAGCGAGGAUGCUUGGCCCCCGUUCCGCCUGUCAGACUCGUGCUUGGCGUUCCGGGAUUGGCUCUCGGCUGGGAAAAGGUACCAACGUUCCUACUGAGGGGAGGACAGGCCAGUGACACGGUCGAGAAGUCACGGGUCUCCAGGAUUCCAGCAAGACCUUUUUUUUGGCCCCAGGUCUGCAGCCCGGCCAGGGUCCUCCCCUUCAGUUCGCUCCUCUCUCUCCCGCACUUGGAGGAAACCCCCAGAGAAAAACCCCGCGAGGCACGUUUUCCACUGUGAAGCUGACCCGCUGCCUCGAGGAGGCCCCCAGGCCUGCGCGAGGCCACCUGCUUCUGCCUGGACUUGGACUGGACUCCUUGGAAAGGGGGCCCCCCCCCCCGAGAGACGUCAGGGAACAGCAUGCACUCUCUGGGGGCCGCAGGUUCACAAGAAAGGGUUUUCUGGAGCUCUUGUUGCUGUUUUCGUUUUUCUUCCUCUCUCGUUGGCGUUGGAGGAUCGCGGUCGGUGGUUGCUUAGGUUGCUGUUUGUCAUAUUCACGCCCCCCCCCCCCCGCCCCUGACCGCCACCGCCACCGCCACCACGGGCGUUGCUUUAGCGAUUCGACUCCUGUACACAGAAGGACUUGCUGGUUUUGCAGAUGGGUGUCAGCAUCAAGACCACGAGGUUCCGACCCACCCACGCAUCCCACUGGGCACCUUGACUCUUCGAACCAAAGUUCCUUAAAGGGGCACAGCCCAGCCUUGUCCGCAGCCUCAGGGGCCUGGGGUCCUUCCUGAAGUCCAGGUUGGCCGAGACCACGGGAGCUGAGACCAGCCCGAGGGAGGGCCUACUCUCACAACCCAGGUGCCAGCCGGUCCCCGCCUGGGACCCUCCCUCCCUCCCAUUCAGGGGGGCUGGGUUUCCAGGCAGUGAGCGAGCUCAUGGACUGGCAUGGGGCUGGGACUCACCAGCCAGGAGAGAGGGACCUGCGGGGCUGGAAGCUCCGACCCAGCGGACAGCGCGUCCAGGGCCAUUCAGAUCCCAUACAUCAGGAAGUCAUUUUGUACAACCACCUGAAGUAGAGAUAUUUUUUAAAAAGCGUAAAUUAUUUUCAGUUGUUUCCCAGUCCUACGGUUUUUUUUUUUCCCCCUACAACUUCACAUCAGUGAUUCUUUCACAUCAGGUAAAUCUCAAGAAAGCCUUGGUGCCCCCUCCCUCCUGUGCCCCACUCGGUCACCCCGUGCGUGCAUCCCCAUCCUCUCUCAGUAGUUAAGACAUUCUAGGCAAUACCAUAGACACAUCCGACUGUGUCUCUCUCUUCAAGUGCAAGAAACUCAAGUCAUCUUAAAAAAAAAUACAAAAAAAAAUUUACAAAAAAACAAACACAAAAAAAAAAAUAUCUUUUUUAGGCCAGAGUUUUCUACAGGUAUUAAUGAAUAUUUUUCUUAAUCCUUAUAAGUUUUAUGUGUUUAAUAUUUCUUAAUACCGGUAGCAUUAAUUUAUACUUUUGUAGCAACACAAUAUUUUUAUAAACAGCCAGCACUUGGCUCAAGUCUCCACAGGGGGUUUAUUCAGGGCCAUCUUGGGACCCUGUGUACCAUGUACUGUAUUUAAAAAAAAAAGUUACCUAGUGUCACCCUUGCUGUGUUAAUUAACAAAAGACAUUGUUCGCGGUCUCCUGUGUCGUCGGUGUGGGCCCAGCAGCUCUCCGAGGAGUCCCGUUGCAUGGGGGUUGAGUUGACGGUUCUUGUGAUACGAAAACCCCCCUGAGACCAAACUUGAGGGUUUAUUUAGGGGUUUUCUGUUUGUCCUUUGAGUUUUCCGUUUCGCUUUGUUUUGGUACCGUUUCUCCAUUUACAGCCAAAUCAGUUUCGUGAUGUUUCAAACUCUUACUGAUGUCAAAUGGAGGAAAGGAAAAGAAAAAGAAAAAAAAAAAAAAGAUUUUUACAAAGUAAUAAAAUUUAAAACUGAGCUGUUUCAAUGUUGCUGUUUUUACCUGUCUGUUCUUGUCCAACCGUGGGACAUUCCCCAGGGAAAAGAGGAAGGUCCCGCUUGGUCCUUUAAAUCACCCAAAGCCCCAGCCCGGAAUUCCGCAUUCCCCCUACCCCUCGAAUCUUGCAACAUGAUUUCCCAGUUGGUUGAUGCCAAGGCAAGAAGACAUCCUUUUAAUGGUUAGAGAGGGUCAGUUGCUUAAAUGAUUUCAUGUCAGUGUUGUAUUUAUGGUUUUACAAUAAAACGACUUUUAGGAAGAUGGCAGUGUGCGGUGUUAUUGCUUGGGUUUGUGGUUGGGCCGUGUCAUCCACUUAGGAGCAGGGCACCGGUGAGUAGAGAUGGACCAAAGGCCAGAUGCCUGGGGGUGACAGAGCCAGAGUGCACCCCCGCGGGACACUGAGGUUGGGGUUGUGAAGUCCUUAUCAGAGCUCUUGGCUCACCUCCGGCACCAGAGCCGGCUCAGCCGAUGUUUGAGAAAGGAGGGACGGACAUGGCCAAGGGAAGACGUGGCCCCUGGGGGCUUUGCUUCCGGAGCACUGUCCCCUGGAAGAAGGGAUGGGUUCGAUCUCUGAGUCCUGCAGGCCCAAUGGCCAGGGACGCGUCCAAGUUCGCCUCGCCCGGUGGUCAUUCAUGUGCUUCUUGUGACCCGGCACCCAGCGGCCUUGGCCUCCCAGGCGAUGUGUGUGACCUUAUGUGCUGUGUGUGGUCCUCCAUCUGGGGAAGGGUGUCCCUGGCUUUUCCAGAUUCCUGAUGGCAUCUGUGACUCUGAGCACAUUCAGAAUCGCGGUGAGCUGUGGGGCCCAGCCUGGGCGGACUUGCCCUCUGUGGGCCCCGCCCAGCGCCCCGCACUACAGACGCCUGGAGAGCAGCAGUGCUUUUGCUUGAACAGCGUCAAAACGGA